GACGAACCGUGCGAACGUUAUUCGGAAUCACUGGGCUUAAAGGGCGCGUAGGCGGGCCGCAUAGUCAGGGGUGAAAUCCUCCAGCUUAACUGGAGAAGUGCCUCUGAUACUGGCGGCCUCGAGGGGUGCAGGGGCGUGCGGAACUUAGGGUGGAGCGGUGAAAUGCGUAGAUAUCGGGAGGAAGGCCGGUGGCGAAGGCGGCGCUCUGGAACAUUUCUGACGCUGAGGCUCGAAAGCGUGGGGAGCAAACAGG
rnacentral:rRNA from 1 species